CAUGGAGGGUGAGAAUCCCGUCCGGUUGAUCAUUUGCGUUUUACGAUACGCUUUCUAAGAGUCAAGUUGUUUGGGAUUGCAGCUUAAAAUGGGAGGUAAAUUUCUCCUAAGGCUAAAUAACGGCGAGAGACCGAUAGCGAACAAGUACCGUGAGGGAAAGAUGAAAAGAACUUUGAAAAGAGAGUUAAACAGUACGUGAAAUUGUUGAAAGGGAAACGAUUGAAGCCAGUCGUACCUUCGGGUGAUCAGCCUUUCGGGUGCGAUUCUGUGGAGUUUGAGGAGCUUAACACCUUCAUGCUUUGCAUAUUCGUGCUCUUGGGUGUACUUGCCCGUGUGGUUGGUUAACAUCAAUUUCGGGCACCAUAAAAUGGCUGGAGGAAUGUAGCUUCGAUCUUGUAUUGAAGUGUUAUAGCCUUCGGUAGAUGUGGUGAUCGAGAUUGAGGAUUGCAACGGAUACCUUUCGGGGCUACCUGUCUGGUCUCUGAUCGUUGCUCUGGUGCCGAAAGCUUGCUUACGGUUAUCAAAGUCGAUGGUCAAUAGGUUAGAACGGGUUAAAUUCGUUAAGGAUGUUGACGUAAUGG
rnacentral:rRNA from 1 species